CCUACGGGUGGCAGCAGUGAGGAAUAUUGGUCAAUGGACGAGAGUCUGAACCAGCCAAGUAGCGUGAAGGAUGACUGCCCUAUGGGUUGUAAACUUCUUUUAUAUGGGAAUAAAACGUUCCACGUGUGGGAUUUUGUAUGUACCAUAUGAAUAAGGCUCGGCUAACUCCGUGCCAGCAGCCGCGGUAAUACGGAGGAUCCGAGCGUUAUCCGGAUUUAUUGGGUUUAAAGGGAGCGUAGGUGGAUUGUUAAGUCAGUUGUGAAAGUUUGCGGUUCAACCGUAAAAUUGCAGUUGAAACUGGCAGUCUUGAGUACAGUAGAGGUGGGCGGAAUUCGUGGUGUAGCGGUGAAAUGCUUAGAUAUCACGAAGAACUCCGAUUGCGAAGGCAGUUCACUGGACUGCAACUGACACUGAGGCUCGAAAGUGUGGGUAUCAAACAGGAUUAGAUACCCGAGUAGUC
rnacentral:rRNA from 1 species